UAGGGAAUCUUCGGCAAUGGGGGCAACCCUGACCGAGCAACGCCGCGUGAGUGAAGAAGGUUUUCGGAUCGUAAAGCUCUGUUGUAAGAGAAGAACGUGUGUGAGAGUGGAAAGUUCACACAGUGACGGUAACUUACCAGAAAGGGACGGCUAACUACGUGCCAGCAGCCGCGGUAAUACGUAGGUCCCGAGCGUUGUCCGGAUUUAUUGGGCCUAAAGCGAGCGCAGGCGGUUUAAUAAGUCUGAAGUUAAAGGCAGUGGCUUAACCAUUGUUCGCUUUGGAAACUGUUAAACUUGAGUGCAGAAGGGGAGAGUGGAAUUCCAUGUGUAGCGGUGAAAUGCGUAGAUAUAUGGAGGAACACCGGUGGCGAAAGCGGCUCUCUGGUCUGUAACUGACGCUGAGGCUCGAAAGCGUGGGGAGCAAACAGG
rnacentral:rRNA from 1 species